rnacentral:rRNA from 1 species
UGAGUAACCUGCCCUUCUCAUCGGAAUAAGCGUUGGAAACGACGUCUAAUGCCGAAUACGACCUCCUUUCGCAUGAUCGGAGGUGGAAAGCUCCGGCGGAGAAGGAUGAGCUCGCGGCCUAUCAGCUAGUUGGUGUGGGUAAUGGCCCACCAAGGCGACGACGGGUAGCCGGCCUGAGAGGGUGACCGGCCACACUGGGACUGAGACACGGCCCAGACUCCGUACGGGAGCAGCAGG